rnacentral:rRNA from 1 species
GUGCCAGCAGCCGCGGUAAUACAGAGGGUGCGAGCGUUAAUCGGAUUUACUGGGCGUAAAGGGCGCGUAGGCGGUUAUAUUAGUGUGAUGUGAAAGCCCUGGGCUUAACCUAGGAAGUGCAUCGCAAACGGUAUAGCUAGAGUAUAAGAGAGGGUGAUGGAAUUUCCGGUGUAGCGGUGAAAUGCGUAGAGAUCGGAAGGAACGUCAAUGGCGAAGGCAGUCACCUGGCUUAAUACUGACGCUGAGGCGCGAAAGCGUGGGGAGCGAACAGGAUUAGAUACCCUGGUAGUCC